rnacentral:rRNA from 1 species
GCUACCACUUACAGAUGGACCCGCGGCGCAUUAGCUAGUUGGUGAGGUAACGGCUCACCAAGGCGACGAUGCGUAGCCGACCUGAGAGGGUGAUCGGCCACACUGGGACUGAGACACGGCCCAGACUCCUACGGGAGGCAGCAGUAGGGAAUCUUCCGCAAUGGACGAAAGUCUGACGGAGCAACGCCGCGUGAGUGAUGAAGGUUUUCGGAUCGUAAAACUCUGUUGUUAGGGAAGAACAAGUACCGUUCGAAUAGGGCGGUACCUUGACGGUACCUAACCAGAAAGCCACGGCUAACUACGUGCCAGCAGCCGCGGUAAUACGUAGGUGGCAAGCGUUGUCCGGAAUUAUUGGGCGUAAAGCGCGCGCAGGCGGUUUCUUAAGUCUGAUGUGAAAGCCCCCGGCUCAACCGGGGAGGGUCAUUGGAAACUGGGGAACUUGAGUGCAGAAGAGGAGAGUGGAAUUCCACGUGUAGCGGUGAAAUGCGUAGAGAUGUGGAGGAACACCAGUGGCGAAGGCGACUCUCUGGUCUGUAACUGACGCUG